AGAAAAAAAAAAGAAAAGAGGGUCAGAAUCUCAAACCCUUUUAUCUUUUAACCCUAAAACCCCGAAUUCCCAAUCUCCACCUCAAUUCACCUGCGCCACCACCAGGAUUCACCCCCCAUCUCCACCGCAAUUCACCUUCGAUCCCCACCUCUAAUCACCCCCCAUCUCCACCUCUUACAUAGCCGUGACCAUCUUCAUCAAGCAAAGUAUGUUUCUUACCAUGCUUCAUUCAGAUCCCCUUUGAAGCACAACCUGUUCUUUGCAGUUUCUGGAGUGUGGCAGUUGCUGACAAGUAAGCCAAUUUGCUUUCACUAUCAGAAUGUCGGAGGCAAGUGAGCAGGAAUCGGUGGAGCAAGGUUUGAUUUGUGUCCUAAUGCCCUGUUUGGAUUUAAGAAUUUCAUCUGAAAUUCUGGACUUGGUGCAAAUCCGCUAUUUAAAUGAUAAAGAAUUUAGAACCUGGAAUUACACCAGGCUACUUUCACUCCACCUUUACUUCUAUCUUUUAUUACACGUGUUGCAGUAGCUUAAGUCUCGUUAUCUUUCACUUCUAUCCUUUCUCUCUCCUGUGAUGCUCCUCAUUCAUCUCCCAUUCCACCAUAAUCAUCAAAUAGAUGCAAGAUUUUAAUCACUGUUUAACAUGCCUUAUUAUUCUUCUGGCAUCAUCACUUGUUGCGUGGUAAUGCAUAUUAUACUACUUCUAUCCUUGCACCAGUAAAAUGUCAGCUAACCACCCGAUAGGCGAUAUCACCCUGCAUUGUUUAGUACUGUCAACUUUGUGGUGUCAGAAAGGUUUUUCGUAAAGGGAUAUUGUUUUGUUUUCUAACAGAAUAAAGUUUCUUGUAAUUCAUCUUUUUGGAUGAUCUAUAAAUAUUUCAGUCACCAGUUUAUCGACAUAACAAUACUAUGCAUUCUGCACAAGUUCCUCACUCUAACUCUGUUUGUCAUCAUGCCUUGAUUACUUUCUUUGUUUCUUAUACAUAGUAAUCACAACAAUAAUUAUAGACUUGCAGCUUGCAGUUCUUAGCUACGAGGACAGCAAAAGCUCAUAAAUUCUGCACUAUCAUAUAAGAUUGCAGUUACAUUUUUUAUCAAGUCGAUAUUACAAUAUCUCAUAUACAGAACCCGAAAAUUACCAAUCUCGGGAUGCAAACUCAGAUUUGAAAAAAAAGUAAUUGAACCCGUUCUAGUCUUUCCUAAGACUCAGCAGGUAGCAUCACAAAUUUAUGCUUAACAAAAGGUCAGAAGAGGGCAUCAGAGGAAGAGCUGAAGCAGAAAACAUGAGUCUAACAUACACCAGGUCAAAUCAGAAAAUGUCAAGUAUUUUCUUAAACUAUUUUGACAUGGUGCAACUGCAAAGGCAGUUGAAGCUGCUAUUUAGAAAAACAAUAGGGAAAUGUUAAUAGAGUUGUUCUCUUCAGGCAAUUCAAAAAGCAUAUAGAUCACUCCGAGCUAAAAGCCAGAUUCUCGUCUUUGACUGGCAAAUAAUUGAUUUUUUUUAUUGCUGCAUUAUAAUUACAUAUGGCAAGGUUCUAUAGUCCAAUGACAUUUCCCUACAGAAAUAUAUAUUAGGAUGAAAAUCAAUUCAGCAACUGUCUUUAUAGUACAUUCACCAACUCAUUAUUAUGUCAAUUAAUGCAAUUACAUCUUUUCAAAAAUUAGCAAGACAACCAAAUAGUCAGCUAUCACGCAAACCCUUAAUCAAGAAAAUCUAGUUUCUGAAGUUCUGAGAGAUUAAUCAAGAACUAACAGCAAAGGAAUCUAUGUUGCUUGAAAAGCAAGCAUGACAAAGAAAUUCCAUAGUUUCACAUAGAAGACCAUUACUUAGCGUCCUAGUGCUCAAACCAAACUCAAACAAACCUAACUAGCUAGUGCUCAUGUCCAAGCUGUAAGUUUCUUUCCUUUCAGUGGAUUCAACAUUCCCUUUUAUGUUCAUUAAGCAUUGAACUAAGGUAAUUCAUACUUUACAUUUCAGGUCACACUGGGCAUUUUACGGACGCUGUUUAUAUAGUUGCAGCCAGGUCUGGUUUCAUGUCAAUGAACAAUUGCCUGUUGGAUCACAGAAGUCAUUACCUGAUCAAGCACCUUAUAUGUGUGAAACAGCUUUAGACGUCUCUGAAGGGGUCAGCAGGGAUGAGGAGACACUUCAGCCAACCGUCUAUUUGAACAAAUCCUAAGCCAGGUCAUUUCAUCUUCCAGGUUGCCCGAAAAAUUUCCUGAAGGAGCUCGAAUAUUUGUUGUUGAUCCAAUGUUGGCAACAGGUGUUUUGUUCUAACAGGAAUAUUGGCAUUUAACAUGAUUUUUUGGAAGAUGUAUAGCAGUUUGGAAGAUGUAUAAUAGUUGCAGCUUUUGGAGAUCUUUUAUGCACAGAGUUUUGGGAACACAUAUUGCCAGACAUGAUGCAUUGACUAUCUGGCUUAAAUUACGAUUCAGUUAGGCUUAGAUUUUGCUAUUGUCACAGUUGGUCAGGCUUAGUUUUUUGUAAGCAGGGGUCGCUCGCACAUGAAAAGGCCUAUCCAUUGUGAACCCUUCCUAUAAGGUGUCACCUGAGAAAGGCGUUGAUGCAUAUUAGCUUUCUUGCCAGGACUGGUUAUGUUAAAACCUUUUAGGUUAUUAUGUUUGGGGGAUGGGAAUUAUUGUUGGCCAUCUGUGGAUAAUAUUUUGAAUUGUGUACAGUUGUCACGAUCAUAUAAAUAAAUAUAUCUUUCUUGAAUA